UUAUGCAGAUGCUUGUGGAGAUCCGAGACAUGUUGAAGGAGCUGAAGGUCAUUCAAGCAUAGCCGCAGGACACAGCUCUUCCUGACAAGGCUACAACAGUUGAAGAACUUAAAAGUCUUGACGAGUCGCUGAACUCGGUGGAGGAAAGACAAAAACUGAUUCAACGCUUGGCAAUGGUAGACAGAGGAACGAGUAUGGAAACCAAUGUCAAAUAGGUCAUGGACAAGUUGAUGACGCAAGAAGUCCAGGCGGAGUUCAACUUAUGUGGAAGGGGACCUACAAAGAAGCUAGCUUUAUAUAAUGCUGUUUUAUAUGCGCAGUUUAUAGUCAUUAUUUGCACUGUUUAAAGAAUUCUAAAGAGUAAAUUUGUGACCUACAUU